UACGUAGGGGGCAAGCGUUGUCCGGAUUUAUUGGGCGUAAAGAGCGUGUAGGCGGCCAGACAGGUCAGCUGUGAAAACUCGAGGCUCAACCUCGAGACGUCGGUUGAAACCGUCUGGCUAGAGUCCGGAAGAGGAGAGUGGAAUUCCCGGUGUAGCGGUGAAAUGCGCAGAUAUCGGGAAGAACACCCGUGGCGAAGGCGGCUCUCUGGGACGGUACUGACGCUGAGGCGCGAAAGCUAGGGGAGCAAACGGG
rnacentral:rRNA from 1 species